AACAGAUCAAGCCACUCCUGCCACUGGGCAUUCGGAGGGUGGGCCAAACGACAUCCAGGGCCAAGGGCGAUGGGAGCCAUUCCUCCGAUGAAGACGACCUCUUCGUGUGAGCGUUGGAAUUUGAGGACAACUGAGAGCUACUGGCCGACCAAAUUCAGCUGGGGAAGCCGUUUGGGAAUUCCAGCCCGGAAGCCUCCUCCUUUCCUCGGGGGUGGGCAGGGCCCCUUUUGCAAACUAAGCCCUGCCCGUAUUCCCUCCCAACCAGCAGACCUCUUCGAGCCAGGAGAGGACCUCGAGGGGAGCCAACAUGGAGGUGAAUGGCUGGAGUUUUCAGAGCUCCUCCGAAACACUUGUGUUUUUCCUGUCAAUGCCGAUCUGCAUACUUCCUCGAGUCAAACCGUUUGCAGAUAAAAAGAGAACUCCAACUUGAUUUACUACGACAAUAGAUAGAACUUUAAUAUGGGACGGAAAAAACGCUCGCGUGUAAGUCCAACCGCUGAACCCAUUGAAUCCACCGAAUCCACAGAACGGGAGAGACGCUCCAAGCAAUCUCCUAUGGACCAGUACUUAACUCCUUCUGUAAGUCCUCAAUCUAAGCUCUCUACUUACAAUAGAUAUGAGGCAUUAGGAUCCUCUAAUGACAUUACAAAGAUUACAAACAGUGCUAUCAAGGCAGUAAAUUCUGACCCUUUCACAACUGACAGUAGGCCGAAUACGGCAUCGGAGCAGAAUGCGAUGUUGGCUCAGCGUUGCAAGUGAAUGGCUGAUACUUUGCAGCUCACCCUUCCAACCUUACUUGGUGUAUGGAAGGGAAAGUGGAUGCAAUAACUCACAUGUUGAAACAAAUACAGCCUGAGCUCUUUAACAGACCUCAGCAGACUAGCUACCCAGAUGCCUUAGGAUCAGUGAAAUCUGAGAUGAAGCAGCAUAUAUCUUGACAGAAAUAUUUACAACAAAGUAAAUCGUGUGCUACAAGCGAACUCUGUUGCUCUUCUUAUAGAGCGUAUACCAGGUAAUCAUGCUAAAUGGAGUUAUAAAUCAGCCAUUCUGAGGUCAUGAAGUCUGCUGACACAAUGCCAUAUUCUGGGUAGAGACCUUGUAAAGUAUACAUAUUGACCUGAUGUUAAUUUUCAUCAGAGAAUUCUGCUCACCUUCAGAGAUGAGAAACAAAUUCCAAGAAUACUCCUUCAGAUGAGGGCGCACUUAGCGUGGUUUGGAAUUCAAGCCAGGAGACAUUUUACUAAUACUGUUAAGACCACCUUAGUGAGGAGAGGGUUAAGUCCGCAGCCAUCUGAGAACCGACGGCCAUUGUUUACUGGAAGCGAACAGAAGAUAACUAGGGAAAUCUCAACACAGACUAGCUCUCAAGGUCAAGCUCAUAGUAUCGUGCCAGAGGGGAUGGUAAAGCAAGUGAGACUGAACAACCAUUCGGGACAGAAAAAUGAGAUACUGACUCAAAUUUCCUCGAAUGAAGGAGAAAAAAGGCAUAAUGCUCCUUAUGAUUAUAUCGAUCUAGCCCUCGAGGGAUCACAGAAUACCCCAAAGACGUUACUAGAAAUCGCAGAGGACUUGGUGAGCCUCCAGAAAACCUCUGAUGAACCUCAGUCAAGGAUUAAUUUUUUAGAACAACAAGCUUUCGCUGACCUUGCUGAGCUCUCUAUGGACCAUGACUCAGUGGUGGACCUGCAAAACCAAGAUCCAAUACACAAUAACCAACUCUUGAUUGACCAUGUGAGAGUAGCCCUGUAUGAAAAUGCUCCAUUGAAGGAAAAUAGCUGGAGGGGGAUACUAACUGACCCUCAUUUGGAUAACAUCACAGCUCUACUGACACCUACAGUAAGGACAAUUCCUCGCCAAAGAGAGAUGCCCAGACUAGGUUCGGUAAAGAUACUUUUAGUGUAAACAGCUUCCUAGAGCAAGAGAUCAAGCGACUCCCUGAUAUAGACACAGUCUUAUCGAGGACAAUAACUCCGCUGGACAAUGAGUGCUGCAAUAGAUCUUUGCAGAGAACAUCUGAAAUAAUGGGACAGAUCCAGGGACCUACCCCGUCUGAACAGGGAAACAUGCUGGUUGUAGACUGACAUUCAAAGCCUUUUAACCAGGUUGCAACACUUGUAUGGAAUGUGGCUGACUUAAGGUCUGAAAUUACAGACCCUGAUUUUAUGUCCUUUAUCACCAAGCACGAGAUAUUGAUAAUGCAGGGAACUUGGUGGACAGAAGAUAUUACUCUUCCUGGUUGUAUAUCGAUUUCAUUAAAUGCGGGAAGAACUGCAUGCAGAGGCAGACCGAGUGGUGGCUUGCCAGUCUUGGCCUCCACAGCUCUGACUUCACAACUGUCCCUGCUUACUAGGACCUUACUAGGAGAGGACCUGGAUUUUGGUGACGUUCUCCAGGAGUAGCUCCCUUCCACUGCAAGCCCCAGGACAAACCUGGCAAGAAAGUGAAAUGCAAGAAGAAGAUCCUAGGAGAAGAUCCCCGUGUGGUUCUUGCCACCUUGGAAUGGGCUGAGCAGAACCAGGAUUUUCAGGAAGGCAAGUCCAUGAGUGGGGUACCCAGUGUGGUUGUCCAUGGGGAUCUGGCCAAGGGUUGUAGUCAUGUGUCAGAAGGAGGGGAUGUUACCUGAAGCCUGGCUGCUUUGACCUGAAAAAAUUCUGAAUAAUAUCAUGACCUUGGAUGAAGGUUUAUGGACAGAGGGACAGGAAAUGUCUUGUGGGCAGCUGAAAUCGCUGGCCAACGGAAGUUUCUCAAAAGGGAGUCUCUUGUCAAAAAGAAAAGGAAUCACAAGAAUGUGGACAUAGACAGACCUUGUGGCUUUGUACAACAGGUGACCUUGUGGACUAACGACCAUGUGGCUCAGUGGUCACGGACUAUGGGGACUUUGGGCUCCAAGUGGCAAAGGUGGUCCUGGACGCUGCAAGAGUCACAGAUGCGGGUCCAGCAUGUGCCUGGCAAAGAAAACACCCUCAAGGAGUUUUCUCUGUCUGGAGAGGGGGAAUCUCAGCCUGGAAGGAUGGCCUGGACGUGGCCCACAAGUACCCUCAGAAGACAAGCGCUGAAAUCCUGGAAGGGCCAGGCAGUAUUGAGCCCCAGACCUCUGCCGAGAGCAGGACAAGAGACUGCCCAUCCAGCAAGCCAGACGCCGAGAAGAGAGAGAAUCCAGAGAACUCUGUGUAGGGACCAGUGUAGGGUGUUAGGGUAGUGGGUGCGUUUCUUUCCAACCUUUUAUUUUCCCUGGUAUGUUCUUUUGGUAGGUUUGUUUUCAGUUUUCAGUUUUGCUGCAAAGUAAUGCUUUAAUUGAACUGGUUUUUUAAAAAGUAAACUUUCUUAUUCUAUCAAGA